GAUGAACGCUGGCGGCGUGCCUAAUACAUGCAAGUCGAGCGAUCAGACGAGGAGCUUGCUCCUCUGACGUUAGCGGCGGACGGGUGAGUAACACGUGGAUAACCUACCUAUAAGACUGGGAUAACUUCGGGAAACCGGAGCUAAUACCGGAUAAUAUAUUGAACCGCAUGGUUCAAUAGUGAAAGACGGUUUUGCUGUCACUUAUAGAUGGAUCCGCGCCGCAUUAGCUAGUUGGUAAGGUAACGGCUUACCAAGGCAACGAUGCGUAGCCGACCUGAGAGGGUGAUCGGCCACACGGGAACUGAGACACGGUCCAGACUCCUACGGGAGGCAGCAGUAGGGAAUCUUCCGCAAUGGGCGAAAGCCUGACGGAGCAACGCCGCGUGAGUGAUGAAGGUCUUCGGAUCGUAAAACUCUGUUAUUAGGGAAGAACAAAUGUGUAAGUAACUAUGCACGUCUUGACGGUACCUAAUCAGAAAGCCACGGCUAACUACGUG
rnacentral:rRNA from 1 species